rnacentral:rRNA from 1 species
UACGAAGGGGGCUAGCGUUAAUCGGAAUUACUGGGCGUAAAGCGUGCGCAGGCGGUUAUAUAAGACAGUUGUGAAAUCCCCCGGGCUCAACCUGGGAACUGCAUCUGUGACUGUAUAGCUAGAGUACGGUAGAGGGGGAUGGAAUUCCGCGUGUAGCAGUGAAAUGCGUAGAUAUGCGGAGGAACACCGAUGGCGAAGGCAAUCCCCUGGACCUGUACUGACGCUCAUGCACGAAAGCGUGGGGAGCAAACAGG